CACGUAGGGGACGAGCGUUGUCCGGAUUCAUUGGGCGUAAAGCGCACGUAGGCGGCGCAGCAAGUUGGGGGUGAAAUCCCGAGGCUCAACCUCGGAAUUGCCUUCAAAACUGCUGUGCUCGAGUUCGGAAGAGGUGAGUGGAAUUCCCAGUGUAGAGGUGAAAUUCGUAGAGAUUGGGAAGAACACCAGUGGCGAAGGCGGCUCACUGGUCCGCAACUGACGCUGAGGUGCGAAAGCGUGGGGAGCAAACAGG
rnacentral:rRNA from 1 species